GUCUGGCAGCCCUGCCGCCGAGUCCCGACCUCCUGCAUGCUGUGUGGACUCUCUUUUCUCUACCUCACCACUCACGCAUGCUGCUCUGCCCUCCUCCAUAAAAAUGGAUGAAACAGGAGCAUGCUGGGCAUGAGGAAUACAGAGUAGUGGCCCCGGGAACACUAGGAUGCCUGUUCUUUCAGUCCAUACUGCUGGCCUGGGACAAACUCCAGCAGCAGCAGGCAGGUGUGAAGGAACUGGCCACCUGGUCGCCUGCAUUCUCUCCAGCCCGGGGCCCUUUCCCACGCCCAGCCUGCCAGCUCUCUCCAGCCUCCACAGGCGGCCUUCCUCACCACCCUCAGUGCACCUGGAUCAAAGAAAGGCAGAGAUGCCCACAUGGGACUGCAUACAGUUCUCCAAAAUUCUCCCUUCUCUUGCAUUCAGCAGAGACAUCCCACAGUUAUUAAAUGCCUUAAAUAUGGAUAUCACCAGUGCCACCCAGGAAAAGGAUGGUUUCUCACGGAAGACUCGCCAUCUCCCAGUGAGCACAGCGUGGGUGUUGGCAUGAUUCCUUUGGCCAUGCUCCUGAAAUCCACUGCCUUCAAAAGCCCACAAAACUGCCCUUACGAAGCAGUCGCAGCAGUUCAGAGACCAUGCCCACCCCACACCUCCCUGCAAGCCUGGCCUCUUCACGGACCUAGGCCAUCCCGACCUUCAGGGAAUGUGGUAAUAGAGUCUAUGGCCCGCCUGUGGGGACUGGUGACCUCCAGAUGUGCAUGCUUCAAAAGAAUUACUAGAAGACAAAAGUGAAAAAGAGAAACUCAGGCAUCUUGCAUGUUUGCUAAAUAAAUCAAUAAGCAAAUAAAUGAUUGAGUGAAAGAGUGGGCUCUGCAAUGUGAUGGUGGAGCAGGAUUUAAACGGUGGAAACAGAGAGGGUCACUUCUCCACAAAAUAGCACCAUGGAGUUUUUCUUGUUUUUUUGCUUUUUUUUUUUUUUUUGCAAAAUCCCUUGGCUAUGCCCCUGAAAUCCGCUGCCUUUGAGAGCAGAAAUCUGGCUGUUGUGUGUGUGCAUGUGUGCCCUGGGCUCUGCCUCCUCGUACAGGCACCUAUUGAUUGAGGGAGGGAAUUACCGUUUUUUUCUGCACUAUCCUUCCUCCCCCAACCCGGGGGCUGUGAUCUCAGCAUAUUAAUGGCUAAGAAGACAAAACAGUGGUUUAAUUAGUGCUGUAAGAAGCCCAGGGCUAAUAGGAACCAGAGAAUAUUUAGUUCUGGGUGUUCUGGGUGAUCUUUUCUUGCCAAAAAGCUGUCCCUUUCCCAACCAGGCAAAGGGACCGGCUGGUGUGUGUGUCGCUAAUUACAGCAGUGACUCAGGCGCUAGACAGCCCUGUGACUUCUGAAGAAGGAAGGCACAGCCCUGUGGGCGUCGGGGAACACAAGCAGGUGUUGUAAGUAAGAAGUACCAGGUCCAAAUCUGAAAUGGGCAGUGGAGAAAGGAAGGAGCUCUAGAAAACAAAGAAUCAUUACUCAGAAAAUGGCCAAACGCUUCAACAUUCUGUUCCUUUGCUGAGUGAUGGGUCACCCUCAGUAUCCCCAUUUGGGGUUCAGAAAAUACCAACAUAGUAGAGUUAGGGGAUACUCCUGCCUCCUCUCUCAUAAGGCCUAUCUCAGAAUAGUUUUUCAUUCAUGGUGGCUGUUUUUAAGCAAGCAAUACUUCUCUCUCUUCUCUAUUCUGUUACUUAUGGGCAUCCUCAGCUUACUUUAGAUUUUAUGCAGUCUUGGAUUUGUCUAGUCUGUGUAUAAAUCCAGCGUCUCCAGUCAUAUUAUUAAUUCCUCAGAGACAACGAUUCUGAUCAAAACUUUCCUUAAAACCUUAUUGCCUCAGCACCUGGAUAGACACAUGUAACCUAAACAAUUCCUCCCAGUUGAAUCAAAAGAAAGAUUUGGGAAAGCUACAUCAUUUCUGGAGCCUGGUACAAAUUAAAAAUGUGGGGCCCCUUAUCAAAAGAGCAGAGAAAAAAAAAGAGUGACA
rnacentral:lncRNA from 1 species